AAUGAACGUUAGCAAUUAGUUUAACACAUGCAAGUCAAAUGUUUGUAAAAACAUGGCGUACGAGUGAGUACAAAAGAGAUAACAUACUUAACAAAUAGGGAUAAUAAAUAAUACCUAAUAACAUCCCUUUUAAGGGAUGAAAAGAUUAAAUUGUUGUUAAAUUGGUCUCUUAAGGAUUAGGUAGUUGGUGGUAGAAGAGACUCCCAAGCCAAAGAUCCUUAGCUGGUUUGAAAGGAUAAUCAGCCACGAUGGGAUUGAGAACGGCCCAUAUACGUAAAAGUAGCAGCAGUGGAGAAUAUUUGACAAUGGACGAAAGUCUGAUCAAGCUAAAUUGCGUAAAAUCUAUGAAAAUAGGUUUAUAAAAUCAGUGAAGAUAAUGACGGUAACUGAAGAAAAGUCCUGGCUAAUCUCGUGCCAGCAGCCGCCGUAAUAC
rnacentral:rRNA from 1 species